rnacentral:rRNA from 1 species
GGCUUAGAAGUGUGGACGCCAGUCUGCAUGGAGCCGACCUUGAAAUACCACCCUUUAAUGUUUGAUGUUCUAACGUUGACCCGUAAUCCGGGUUGCGGACAGUGUCUGGUGGGUAGUUUGACUGGGGCGGUCUCCUCCUAAAGAGUAACGGAGGAGCACGAAGGUUGGCUAAUCCUGGUCGGACAUCAGGAGGUUAGUGCAAUGGCAUAAGCCAGCUUGACUGCGAGCGUGACGGCGCGAGCAGGUGCGAAAGCAGGUCAUAGUGAUCCGGUGGUUCUGAAUGGAAGGGCCAUCGCUCAACGGAUAAAAGGUACUCCGGGGAUAACAGGCUGAUACCGCCCAAGAGUUCAUAUCGACGGCGGUGUUUGGCACCUCGAUGUCGGCUCAUCACAUCCUGGGGCUGAAGUAGGUCCCAAGGGUAUGGCUGUUCGCCAUUUAAAGUGGUACGCGAGCUGGGUUUAGAACGUCGUGAGACAGUUCGGUCCCUAUCUGCCGUGGGCGCUGGAGAACUGAGGGGGGCUGCUCCUAGUACGAGAGGACCGGAGUGGACGCAUCACUGGUGUUCGGGUUGUCAUGCCAAUGGCACUGCCCGGUAGCUAAAUGCGGAAGAGAUAAGUGCUGAAAGCAUCUAAGCACGAAACUUGCC